rnacentral:rRNA from 1 species
UACGUAGGGGGCAAGCGUUGUCCGGAAUUAUUGGGCGUAAAGAGUGUGUAGGCGGUGUUCCCAGUCUGUUGUGAAAUCUCCCGGCUUAACUGGGAGGGUGCAGCGGAAACUAGAAUGCUAGAGGGUGGGAGAGGUAAGCGGAAUUCCUGGUGUAGCGGUGAAGUGCGUAGAUAUCAGGAGGAACACCUGUGGUGUAGACAGCUUACUGGACCACUUCUGACGUUGAGACACGAAAGCGUGGGUAGCAAACAGG